rnacentral:rRNA from 1 species
UUUACUGUUUGGCUUAUAAGAGUUAUCAAAUAUCACUUUGAUUAAAUUAGAGUGCUUAAAGCAAGUGUGUUACUUGGAUAUAAAUGCAUGGAAUGAUGGAAUAUGUUGUUGUUCUAUUUGUUGGUUUUUGAACGAUGAAAUGAUUGAAAGGAACUGUUGGGGGCAUUCGUAUUGUUGUGAGAGAGGUGAAAUUCUUAGACCACAGCAAGACGAACUACUGCGAAAGCAUUUGCCAAGAAUGUUUUCAUUGAUCAAGAACGAAAGUUAGAGGUUCGAAGGCGAUCAGAUACCGCCCUAGUUCUAACCAUAAACUAUGCCAACUAGCAAUUUGCUUACGUAUUUUUUAUGACUAAGUGAGAGCCACGGGAAACCAAAGUAGGUUAUG